GGGAAGUUUGGGGUGUGGGAAAUGGGACCUAUUUCCUUUGCUCUUGAGGUUAGGUUGAGCCAUCUGGCUCCCUGCCCUGCAGUUCCCAUAACUGAAGAGUUAUACAUCCCAUAACCCCUGCCCACUAGUGAACCCCUUCCUCAGCUCUGGGACUGAUUGUCUUCAAGCUGAGCACACACUGAGCACUGGGCCUGCCUUCUUCCUAACACAGGUUUUUGUAAGCUCCAGACAUUGGAUAAAGCAUUUUGAGGGAUAGGUGAAAACGAAAUCCUGCUCUUUACUCUUGAGAACUCACUCUGCUGUGGGAGGAGAGACAGGCAGGUAUAUCAAAGGGAAAAAUAGUAACAGUUCUGGUGGAGAGACCUGGUGAGCAACACCUUAAACCAAGUGAUGAAAGCUGAAAUCAGCAACACUGGGAUGAACCUGCAUCACGUUAUAGCGGAUGUGAUGCCCUGACAAGAGCACCAGUCCUGUUUGCAGCAUCACUGUCCCAGAUGCAUGCCUGAAUCUGUUCCUUAGGAUACAUCAGGAAACCCAAGCUGAGGAAUGUUCUACUAAAUAAAUGAUCUCUACUCUUCAAAAACAUGUGGGUCAAGUGACGGGUGCCGAGGAGAGGGAGAGGGUCUAGGAAGACCCUAGUUGGGACAAUUCAAAUGUGGCCUGUGCAUUUCAUACUGGUACUGUUCAAUGUGAAAUUUCUUGAU
rnacentral:lncRNA from 1 species